rnacentral:tRNA from 2 species
GCGCCGGUAGCUCAGCUGGAUAGAGCGACGGCCUCCGGAGCCGUAGGUCGCAGGUUCGAAUCCUGUCCGGCGCA